rnacentral:rRNA from 1 species
GACGAACGCUGGCGGCGUGCCUAAUACAUGCAAGUCGAACGGAGCGGCGAACGGGUGAGUGACGCGUAAGUAACUGCCCCCCUCUCUGGGAUAACAGUUGGAAACGGCUGCUAAUACCGGAUAGUGGGGGGGGACUGGCGUCCGAUCGGCUUGUUGGUGGGGUAGGGGCGUACCAAGGCGACGACGGGUAGCCGGGCUGAGAGGUCGACCGGCCAAAGUGCGCUGAGAGACGGCCCGAACGCCUACGGGAGGCAUCAGGGGCGAAUAUUGCAAAAUGGGGGAAACCCUGAUGCAGCAACGACGCGUGCGGGAGGGUGGCAUUCGGGUUGUAAACCGCUUUCAGCCAUGACGCGGUAGUGGCAGAAGAAGCACCGGCUAACUACGUGCCAGCAGCCGCGGUAAUAC